rnacentral:snRNA from 1 species
AUCACUUCUCGGCCUUUUGGCUAAGAUCAAGUGUAGUAUCUGUUUCUAAUUCUAAAUAAUAAAGGUAAUGUAAAUAUGUUGUGAUGUGUCAUAAUAGUGUACAGAUAUAAAGCAGCAGAAAGUGAAACGUCCUGCCUCUAAUCCUCU